rnacentral:tRNA from 4 species
GGGCGGUUAGCUCAGUUGGUAGAGCGUCUUCUUGACGUGAAGAAGGUCACAUGUUCAAAUCCUGUACCGCCCA